CCCUUGUGGAGGAGGACGCCGAAGGUGGGGCUAAUGACUGGGGUGAAGUCGUAACAAGGUAGCCGUACCGGAAGGUGCGGCUGGAUCACCUCCUAACAGGGAGACAACAAAAUGUUUAAUAUUAUUAUUUUGUCACCUUAGGUCGAUCGGUAUCUCACGUUCUUAAUUUAAUUAAGAAUUUCAUUUCCUAAGUUUUUCUAGGUCACACCCAUUAUUUUUCCUGGGCCAUUAGCUCAGGUGGUUAGAGCGCACCCCUGAUAAGGGUGAGGUCCCUGGUUCAAGUCCAGGAUGGCCCAUAUCUCUAUGUUGGGGGUAUAGCUCAGUUGGUAGAGCGCCUGCUUUGCAAGCAGGAUGUCAGCGGUUCGAGUCCGCUUACCUCCACUGAUUACCACCUCUUCCAUAAUCUGUAGAAAGGAAAUUUUUUGAGUUGUGAUCAAAUUCUGAACGAAUCUAGCUUCCUAAUGAAUUCAUUAAGAUGCUGGACUCAUUGAAUUAAUUUCAUUGUUUUCAGAGAACCUUGACAACUGCAUAGAUUAUUUUUAAAGACAAUAAGCAUCUUUAAUGAUGCAGAUUUAUUAUUUGUGCGAAUGCAUUAAUAACAAUUCUAUUAAGCUGAUGCUUCAAUUUUGAAGUUAUUGGUCAAGCUACAAAGGGCUCACGGAGGA
rnacentral:misc_RNA from 1 species